AUUAGAGACCUUGCAGGUUGGAGUUCAGGGCUACAGUCAGAGUAAGUGGAGUGAUCCUGUCCCAUCUUGUCUAUUUGUUCAGUCCAAUGCCUAUGAAUAACUCUUUCCACCAUGUCAGUCUGAUCUGUCAUCAGUCAUCACUUUAUCAUGUUCCA